UUGAAUGUAAUAAAAUAAAACACAUAUAUUGCUCAGACACUGCUCAUGUUUACUCGUAUAUACUGAGAGAAACAACUUUAAUGUUAGCACACGACAUAUGUAUUUAGGAGGUGCGAUCGUCCCGUCGACCAAGCCACGAGCCGCCACUGAUUAAUUUUACCAUGAUGUAUUUAUUUUAGCUUCAAUGUGAAGAUGAAAAGAUACUUGAAGUAUUUACCUAUCAUUUGAUAUAUUUUUGUGAACAUUUAACCCUUUCCAGCCCACAGGAAGGACUUUAUUUUGUCUUCAUGGUGAAAAUGGCUACCAUAUACUAUUUUUGUUUUAAAAUUCUCGAUUUUAUAUUUUGCAUUUUUAACUUUAUAAUGCUAUAAAGCUUUAUAGCUUUUUAAAAAAUAUAUAGAUGAAUACAAUUUUUUUAU